rnacentral:rRNA from 1 species
GGAAACUCACCAAGGCCGACUGUUAGAUGAAGAUCAGCGUAAUGAGCUUAUCGGAUUUUCAGAGAGGUGGUGCAUGGCCGUCGUCAGUUCGUACUGUAAAGCGUUCUGUUAAGUCAGAUAACGAACGAGACCCUCAUCUCUAUUUGCUACCUGGUUCUCCGGAACCAGCGCACUAUAGGGAGACCGCUGGUGUGAAACCAGAGGAAGGGGAGGGCAACGACAGGUCAGUAUGCCCCGAAUGUCUUGGGCUACACGCGCGCUACAAAGGGCAGGACAAUGGGAUGCUAGGCCGAGAGGCAUUCAAGCUAACCCGAAACCUGUUCAUAGUUCGGAUUGAGGGCUGUAACUCGCCCUCAUGAAGCUGGAUUGCGAAGUAAUCGUGUUUCAACAUAGCACGGUGAAUAUGCCCCUGCUCCUUGCACACACCGCCCGUCAAACCAUCUUAGUUGGGGGUGGGUGAGGCUGCGCUUUAUGGCGUAUUCGAGCCUGUCUUUAACAAGGAGGGUUAAGUCGUAACAAGGUAACC